rnacentral:misc_RNA from 1 species
CGGAACCAGGCCUGCGUCCGG